AUGAAGUUGAAUUAAUUCUUUUUUUCUCCUCAAUUUUUGUAUUUUUUGUUUGUGUGUAAAUAGAGUAAUUAUAUCCCGAGUUUGGUUCCGUAGUUGGGAGUGUUCGAAAUAAAGCUAUUUUUAGUAUAACCGGUUUGGUCAGGGAGAGUCGUGGCUGUUUGUCAAGAGUGCGGCCACGUUUUGAUUUUGUCCAUUAGUCCACGUUUCCUGGCGAAUUCCAGAAGUUAGUCUGGUAAACGGGUAGCCAGGAAGUUGGUUAUUUACUAUAUGGGCAUUUCUUUCUCCAGCCGUGCGGAGGGGUUAUAAGUAUAAACCCGGGGCUGAAGUGGGUUGUAGGACCUCAGGAGUGCAUUUGAGGCAUUGGUCGAGACGGGGCCAAAACAAGUUGACGACGGAGGUCGUGGUGUACACGGACAGAGUGUGUGUAACUAAUGGAAUUGGUGACGGUUAUAGCCGUAUAGAGGGGAGUGAAAUUUAGUGGUAUCCAGUGGGAGACCGGUGAGUUCAGGACUGGAACUAGAGGGACGCAGUGUUGGUAGUAUGGAGGCCCAGUGGUGUUAUGGUUGAUGUAACUGUUUUUCUACGAAGUUGAAUAGCCAAACUUCCAAUUCAGUUUUAAAGAAAUAAAACCUUGAAAAGUUCAUAUAGUUUAACGGAUUUCAGAUUUACAGUUAUUAUUUAACUAAAAGUUAUUUUUUUCUGCGAAAAAUCUACAGUGCUGAAUUUUUGUUAUUUGUUUGUUUUCUCAUAUAAUUACAUCUGAUUUGUUAAAACCAGCAUUUGAUUUAUUGGCAAUUAUUUUGUUUUAAAUUAAAUCUUUCAUUUCAUUGUCAAUAUUAUCUGGUUUUUGUUUUGAAAUUAUAUUUUGUUUUCUUUGUGAGAGAGGGUGCGUGAGAGUGCGUUUGUUUUGUUAAUUUCUUAUUUUGGUUGUUUGUUUUUUAUUAUUAAAAUAAAUUUAUUUUGUUUUGUAUAUUC